CAUGAACAAAGAAAAGGCCUUUAUAUCCGGCAACUGGCACGCAGCAAAGUUAAUAAAUAUACAUCCUAGGAGAAGUCUUAAAUGAUAGCAUAAUACAUUACAUUGUGGUCACGAACUAACAUAGUGAACUAAUUUUCAAAUAACAUUGAGAUAGGAUACAGAACGGGUGAUUAGCACAUAAGGACUGGUAGGGUGCACGAACUAGAUAAAUUGAAGUACCAAACCGAAGUAUGCCACUAGUGUCUUAAUUAGAUACAACUAAGUAGAUGAGGACGGCUAAGAUUGCUAUUAUGCUAGCUAAGAGAAAAACAAAAGCUAGUAAGAUAACGAUGAACAGGCGGGAAAUUCCUUCGUAUGAACACACGCGGGACAAACGAGCACCGAGCUGAACAAGCUGGUUACUAAGUUCGUUGAUCUGUUGCUGAAGCCCGGUGUCGAGGCAGCAGGGGUCAGUAUGCGCCUCCGUAGAUUGAGUCUGAGUUGCAGGUGACUGUCGUGGAAGUAGCAACUUUCCAAUGCCACGCAGCAACGUCUCGUAGUCUGCUUGGAAGUAGUAGGAUCUGCAAGAGUUUGGGUCCUAAACCAAAACAAGCGAAGUAAUAUCACAAAGGGAACGAAACAAAAUUACAAAUAAAAGGGUCAUAUAGAGGAACAUGCGUUCCUGGAGAUGGAUCGGCGAUUUGAGUGGAAGAUAUACUUACCUUCUCCUUGUUCCUGGGGCACUUGAAAAACCUCUUUCCCGCUGAACUCACACGAGUACUGGUAAGAGCAAUGAGCCGGACAUCUUUGCAUGACUGACACAAUAUUAGCGGUAGACCUGUGACCAAAUCAACCGGGUCUGGUCCAUCAACCAGGGAAGGACGUGACUGCUAGUUGACGGAGGAAGAUUGUGCCAUUGUUUUUGAAAAAAAGGAAGAACUGGAUACUGGUGCAACGAUUUUGGAAACUGGAUGGAACAAAUAAGAUGGGUAUGCGAGAGGAAAUGGAGAAGGAAGACGAACUGAUGAACUAAGAACGUGGAGGGAGGUGAUGUGAAGGAGAUCAAAGUGUUAGAAUGGGUGCC
rnacentral:lncRNA from 1 species